rnacentral:rRNA from 1 species
AUUGAACGCUGGCGGCAGGCCUAACACAUGCAAGUCGAACGAGUGGCAGGCGGGUGAGUAACGCUUGGGAAUCUCGCUUAUGACGGGGGAUAACGACGGGAAACUGUCGCUAAUCCCGCUUACCAUAGGAUGAGCCCAAGUGGGAUUAGGUAGUUGGUGGGGUAAUGGCCUACCAAGCCGACGAUCUCUAGCUGGUCUGAGAGGAUGACCGGCCACACCGGAACUGAGACACGGCCCGGACUCCUACGGGAGGCAGCAGUGGGGAAUAUUGCGCAAUGGGGGAAACCUGACGGAGCCAUGCCGCGUGAGUGAAGAAGGCCUUCGGGUUGUAAAGUUCUUUCGUUGAGGAGGCGUUACUCACAGAAGAAGCACCGGCUAACUCCGUGCCAGCAGCCGCGGUAAUAC